ACUUGCAGACAUCAUGUGUGACUGAGUAUUGGUGUUAUACUCGUCGUUUUUCAAACUGCAG
rnacentral:sRNA from 1 species